GAGGACAAGAUGCUGCUGCGUGUGACAGCUGAAAUCUUCAGUAAAAAGAAGGGAUGGGCGCCGAUGGUGUUUAGACUUGAAGUAAAUGACUAGAAAAAGAAAAGAGAUGAGAUGAUAAAACUUGAGAUGAAAGAGUAAUGGUAGGAAUACAAAAAAGUAGACACUAGGCCAAGCUUGAUGUUCUGUCUUGGAAUAGAGUUGGGUUAUGUAUUUGGUCUUUGGGUACCUGUUUUGUAAUGUUCCUGGAAGUUGGAAAAGGAGUUUGUAGUAGCAGGUCUGUUUUCUAUUCCCUGGGAAGCAAAGGUUCUGAAGUUUGUUAGUCUGGUAGGUGCUCUGUGGGUGAAUUUCUGGGAGAUUGGAACUUCAAACGUGGUUGUUUAUCUGGUUUCAUUUUCCAUUAAUGAAAUCGGGGACUAUGUCCUUUAAUUCGAAAAAAUCAAGCAUGGAAGCCAAACCAGGCACUCGUUCUCUCCCCUAAGCACCCGGUGUUUCCAGCGUGGCAAAAUAAACCUGGUUUUCUUCUUACUGGGAGGGCUGUGCCGGCGGUGUUCAGGACAUCUCCACCUCACCAAGCUGCUGCCCCUGGUCAUCUUCUUCUCAAACCUUUUCAGCAUGCCUGCAACGAACAGGCAGAGAAGGUUAUCGCUGGCCAUCUCAGCAAGCUGAAGCAAAGCUGACUCUGUUUUGAGGCGGCUUCUAUCAUCUUCUUUGGAAGUUAAAGACUUUGAUGGAGAAGGCAAAGACAAAAGCAAAGAGAACGGUGAAGCCUACAACACCAAUAGCCAUAAAACCUACGUAAUCGUGCCUGAAUCCAAAGAAUCUGUUGAUGAAAGCAUCCACCGCUUCUCCAUCCUCCAGCCUAACAUCUGCGAUAUCUCCAUACUGUGAAGCGACAAGUCCGUACAGAGUCCAUGCCACCGGACAUGCCCAGGAGUACCAUCUCCACCAUAUUGGUAUCCUCUGCAAGCCAGCCAUAUAAUUUAGCAUUGGUGGUAUGGAGGAAAUGUAGAGUCUGUUUCAUAGUAGAAAUGAACUAGUCGUGGACACUUACUGGUCGGGGGACAAGGAAGCCAGCAAAGAUAUUCCAUACUGCAUAGAAUGCAGUUGCAACUAUGGCAGCAAUGUCGCUGUUUGGUGUCAUGGCGACUGCCAUCAUGCCAUAAAACGUGAAGUACAGGAAGGUGAAGAACAUGAAGAACAUGUACCAAAAGAAUUUCAUAAAUGCCCAGUCUAAACCAAUCAAGCUGUAGACAAUCAGACCAUACACAAGGGUCUGAAGGAAGACAUGUGGGAUCUCAAUGAAAACCUGUUGAAUGGUUAACAUGGUUGGAACUUAGACAUGAAUUGGAGGAAGAAACCUGCAAUCUUUUAUAUUAAAAUAUUGUGGCGACUAUUACCUGUGCAAAAGCAUAGGGUAGAGCAGAGUACAUCCCGGCAGCCUUUUCUCGGUAGAAGACUGUCCUUUCGACGUCUACAAUCGGUUGAACGCAUUGUCCAUUCUGAAUUCCAAUGAAAAUGACUGCUGCAUACAUGGAACCCAGAGAGUUGAACAGGAAGAUGGUGCCGAAGAUGAGGGCAAUAACCAUCGUGAAGAAUAUUCUAGUCGCAGUGUAUGAUGGAUUUCUCCAGUAUGACUUGUGCUGCUUCCACAGGCAAGCAAUACAUUGUGUGAAGAAGGACUGUGCGUACUGGUUUGGGAAGCACAGGUCCGUCGAUCCAGGAGGAGGUGUGCUUAGUUCACUGAUCAGAGCUUUGUUCCUCCUGCCAUGAUACAUUUGAAUCAGUGAAAUGGGAGAGAAGUAUUGAAAAAGCUGAAACAUCAUUCUGGGACUGAACAUACCGGUAUAGGUCAGAAUUCAUGUAUACUUCGGCGAAGUUGACCCCCAGGGCAUCUUCUUGAGAUAGGGUAGUCACUUCUAGCAUCCAAGUUGCAGGGUUGUAACCAUCCUUGAUUUUCUUCACUCCUUGUAUUCCCUGCAUUUGGAGCACCAAACAAAGUUAUCACGCAUGCCAUAAGUUGGAA